AAAAUACUCCCUCCGUUCCGAAUUACUUGUCUUGAAUUUGUCUAGAUAUGAAGGUAUCUAGCACUAAAAUGAGUCUAGAUACAUCCGUAUCUAGACAAAUCCAAAACAAGUAAUUCGGAACGGAGGGAGUAUAUA
rfam:Triticum aestivum genome assembly, contig: Triticum_aestivum_CS42_TGACv1_scaffold_000810_1AL